rnacentral:rRNA from 1 species
ACGAACGCUGGCGGCGUGGAUAAGACAUGCAAGUCGAACGAGAGAAUUGCUAGCUUGCUAAUAAUUCUCUAGUGGCGCACGGGUGAGUAACACGUGAGUAACCUGCCCCCGAGAGCGGGAUAGCCCUGGGAAACUGGGAUUAAUACCGCAUAGUAUCGAAAGAUUAAAGCAGCAAUGCGCUUGGGGAUGGGCUCGCGGCCUAUUAGUUAGUUGGUGAGGUAACGGCUCACCAAGGCGAUGACGGGUAGCCGGUCUGAGAGGAUGUCCGGCCACACUGGAACUGAGACACGGUCCAGACACCUACGGGUGGCAGCAGUCGAGAAUCAUUCACAAUGGGGGAAACCCUGAUGGUGCGACGCCGCGUGGGGGAAUGAAGGUCUUCGGAUUGUAAACCCCUGUCAUGUGGGAGCAAAUUAAAAAGAUAGUACCACAAGAGGAAGAGACGGCUAACUCUGUGCCAGCAGCCGCGGUAAUACAGAGGUCUCAAGCGUUGUUCGGAAUCACUGGGCGUAAAGCGUGCGUAGGCUGUUUCGUAAGUCGUGUGUGAAAGGCGCGGGCUCAACCCGCGGACGGCACAUGAUACUGCGAGACUAGAGUAAUGGAGGGGGAACCGGAAUUCUCGGUGUAGCAGUGAAAUGCGUAGAUAUCGAGAGGAACACUCGUGGCGAAGGCGGGUUCCUGGACAUUAACUGACGCUGAGGCACGAAGGCCAGGGGAGCGAAAGGGAUUAGAUACCCCUGUAGUCCUGGCAGUAAACGGUGCACGCUUGGUGUGCGGGGAAUCGACCCCCUGCGUGCCGGAGCUAACGCGUUAAGCGUGCCGCCUGGGGAGUACGGUCGCAAGAUUAAAACUCAAAGAAAUUGACGGGGACCCGCACAAGCGGUGGAGUAUGUGGCUUAAUUCGAUGCAACGCGAAGAACCUUACCUGGGCUUGACAUGUAAUGAACAACAUGUGAAAGCAUGCGACUCUUCGGAGGCGUUACACAGGUGCUGCAUGGCCGUCGUCAGCUCGUGUCGUGAGAUGUUUGGUUAAGUCCAGCAACGAGCGCAACCCCUGUUGCCAGUUACCAGCACGUGAAGGUGGGGACUCUGGCGAGACUGCCCAGAUCAACUGGGAGGAAGGUGGGGACGACGUCAGGUCAGUAUGGCCCUUAUGCCCAGGGCUGCACACGUACUACAAUGCCCAGUACAGAGGGGGCCGAAGCCGCGAGGCGGAGGAAAUCCUAAAAACUGGGCCCAGUUCGGACUGUAGGCUGCAACCCGCCUACACGAAGCCGGAAUCGCUAGUAAUGGCGCAUCAGCUACGGCGCCGUGAAUACGUUCCCGGGUCUUGUACACACCGCCCGUCACAUCAUGGAAGCCGGUCGCACCCGAAGUAUCUGAAGCCAACCGCAAGGAGGCAGGGUCUUAAGGUGAGACUGGUAACUGGGAUG